CAUCAUAAUGGCUUUCAGGGGCUGACCUCAAAGAAGAAAGUCAGUGCUGGGGAACUGAAUCCGGCAGGCAAGACAGACAUUUUGGACAUGAUUCUCAAGCCCUCAACAUCAAAGCUGCCUGGGAAACUACAAUUAUCCCUUCUCCGUUCCUUUCUCUGACUCAGAUAUUGGGGAAAAAGCGAAGGGUUCCUGGAGUUCCUCCCUGGCUCCCUUGGAGCCUCUGCCAGCACCUGUUUUCUGUAAAGGGUAGGAUCACUGCUCCUGUGUACAGCAUCUUUUGGGACACAGAAAGCACCUAUGCUCUCUUGAGCUUCAUUUUAAUGUCUGCAUGGGAACAAGAACCCUGAAUGGUGAUAUCCAAGUUGCUAUUUCUACAUGAUUUAUGAGAGGGACACAAGGAUGACCAGAUAGCCAUUCAACCUGAGACAACGACAGGUGAAUGUCUCAGUUUCCAUCCUGUCAAGUCUAACAUUCACAAAUUUCUGAAAACAGUCUUUCCACCACCACCUGCCUUCUCUGAGCCUCCUCCAUCCGACACAAUUAUAACUCAUAAAUGAAGGACUCUGCCCAAGCAGGCAUGUAAGGACUCUACCCAAAAGCCCAAAUGCAAACCAGUUUCAUCAACUGGAUUGGUUUUCUGCAUAAUUUGGGUUGAAAAAUGAAAAUAAAAUUGGUCACCAGUGAUAGAUGAAGAGAGCAGACACACAAAGACUCCACAGGCUGACUCAGGUUCUUGCAGCCAUAGGAGCUCACCAGCUCUUGGGUACCCACAGGUGUCGUUCAGCACUAACUCUCCUGGCCCAUGUUUCUCUUCCAACUUCUGCCUCUACCCAAGUACCCUGACAGGAAGAUGUAAGAUUAGCUGGGCUGAGGAGCUUCAUCUUUAAAUCCCUUUCACAGAAGAGUUUGACACAUGUGUGUUUGCCUGCCUGAGCCAGAAAGAGUCUACAGUGCUGAGUUGUACCAGUCCUCUGUCAAACAAAUACGCAACUCCGCCUCCCUCUCUGCAAUGCUCUCAGUUCUGCCCCUGGACACUGUCCAAGGUGAAGGUGAAGAAGGAGAGGACUUUUCGAGGUCUUCCUCACUACUGACAGCAGCACAGAGGCAGCAAGGAUGAGUCCUUAUCAGCACGCUUCUUCAGCCCAGAUGCUAGGCAAGGCUAGCAGCCUCGAUGUGAGUGUGCAACAUGGAAGAAAUAAGCU
rnacentral:lncRNA from 1 species